UCAUAUAAAGAUGAGAGGUGUA
rnacentral:siRNA from 1 species